GUAACGUGGUCUGAGAGGAUGAUCAGUCACACUGGAACUGAGACACGGUCCAGACUCCUACGGGAGGCAGCAGUGGGGAAUAUUGGACAAUGGGCGAAAGCCUGAUCCAGCCAUGCCGCGUGUGUGAAGAAGGUCUUCGGAUUGUAAAGCACUUUAAGUUGGGAGGAAGGGCAGUUACCGUAAUACGUGAUUGUUUUGACGUUACCGACAGAAUAAGCACCGGCUAACUCUGUGYCAGCAGCCGCGGUAAUACAGAGGGUGCAAGCGUUAAUCGGAAUUACUGGGCGUAAAGCGCGCGUAGGUGGUUUGUUAAGUUGGAUGUGAAAUCCCCGGGCUCAWCCUGGGAACUGCAUUCAAAACUGACUGACUAGAGUAUGGUAGAGGGUGGUGGAAUUUCCUGUGUAGCGGUGAAAUGYGUAGAUAUAGGAAGGAACACCAGUGGCGAAGGCGACCACCUGGACUAAUA
rnacentral:rRNA from 1 species